UGUGUGUGUGUGUGUGUGUGUCUGUGUGUGUGUGUGUGUGUGUCGUGUGUCUGUGUGUAUACACACAUACAUACAUACAUACAUACACC